UACGUAGGGUGCGAGCGUUGUCCGGAUUUAUUGGGCGUAAAGAGCUCGUAGGCGGUUUGUCGCGUCGGCCGUGAAAUCUCCACGCUUAACGUGGAGCGUGCGGUCGAUACGGGCAGACUUGAGUUCAGUAGGGGAGACUGGAAUUCCUGGUGUAGCGGUGAAAUGCGCAGAUAUCAGGAGGAACACCGGUGGCGAAGGCGGGUCUCUGGGCCGAUACUGACGUGAGGAGCGAAAGCGUGGGGAGCGAACAGG
rnacentral:rRNA from 1 species